AGUGAACGCUGGCGGCAGGCCUAACACAUGCAAGUCGAACGGCAGCACAGUAAGAGCUUGCCCUUACGGGUGGCGAGUGGCGGACGGGUGAGGAAUACAUCGGAAUCUACUUUUUCGUGGGGGAUAACGUAGGGAAACUUACGCUAAUACAGCAUACGACCUACGGGUGAAAGCAGGGGAUCUUCGGACCUUGCGCGAUUGAAAGAGCCGAGGUCGGAUUAGCUAGUUGGCGGGGUAAAGGCCCACCAAGGCGACGAUCCGUAGCUGGUCUGAUAGGAUGAUCAGCCACACUGGAACUGAGACACGGUCCAGACUCCUACGGGAGGCAGCAGUGGGGAAUAUUGGACAAUGGGCGCAAGCCUGAUCCAGCCAUACCGCGUGGGUGAAGAAGGCCUUCGGGUUGUAAAGCCCUUUUGUUGGGAAGGAAGAGCAGCAGGUUAAUACCCCGCUGUUCUGACGGUACCCAAAGAAUAAGCACCGGCUAACUUCGUG
rnacentral:rRNA from 1 species